rnacentral:rRNA from 1 species
GAUAAACGCUGGCGGCGUGCAUGAGACAUGCAAGUCGAACGAACGAGCUUGCUCGUUAGUGGCGAACGGCUGAGUAACGCGUAGGUGACCUGCCCUGAAGUGGUGGAUAACGGCCCGAAAGGGUUGCUAAUACCGCAUGUGGCGACGUGUUCAUUCACGUCAUCAAAGCCGCGAGGCGCUUCAGGAGGGGCCUGCGUCCGAUUAGCUCGUUGGUGGGGUAACGGCUCACCAAGGCGACGAUCGGUAGGUGGUCUGAGAGGACGAUCACCCAGACUGGGACUGAGACACGGCCCAGACUCCUACGGGAGGCAGCAGUCGGGAAUUUUGCUCAAUGGGCGAAAGCCUGACGCAGCAACGCCGCGUGCGGGAUGAAGGCUCUCGGGUCGUAAACCGCUUUCAGCAGGGAUGAAAUUGACAGUACCUGCAGAAGAAGCCCCGGCUAAAUACGUGCCAGCAGCCGCCGCGGUAA